AACGAACGCUGGCGGCAGGCCUAACACAUGCAAGUCGAACGCCCUAGCAAUAGGGAGUGGCAGACGGGUGAGUAACACGUGGGAACCUUCCCUAUAGUACGGAAUAGCCCAGGGAAACUUGGAGUAAUACCGUAUACGCCCGAGAGGGGAAAGAUUUAUCGCUAUAGGAUGGGCCCGCGUUGGAUUAGCUAGUUGGUGAGGUAAUGGCUCACCAAGGCGACGAUCCAUAGCUGGUCUGAGAGGACGACCAGCCACACUGGGACUGAGACACGGCCCAGACUCCUACGGGAGGCAGCAGUGGGGGAAUAUUGGACAAUGGGCGCAAGCCUGAUCCAGCCAUGCCGCGUGAGUGAUGAAGGCCUUAGGGUUGUAAAGCUCUUUUGGCGGGGACGAUAAUGACGGUACCCGCAGAAUAAAGUCCCGGCUAACUUACGUGCCAGCAGCCGCGGUAAUAACGUAGCGUG
rnacentral:rRNA from 1 species